rnacentral:rRNA from 1 species
ACUGCUCAGUAACACGUGGACAACCUGCCCUUAGGUUGGGUAUAAACCCGGGAAACUGGGUAUAAUACCCGAUAGGUCUCGAUUGCUGGAAUGCAUCGAGAUUUAAAGCUCCGGCGCCUAAGGAUGGGUCUGCGGCCUAUCAGGUAGUAGUGGGUGUAGCGUACCUACUAGCCUACGACGGGUACGGGUUGUGAGAGCAAGAGCCCGGAGAUGGAUUCUGAGACACGAAUCCAGGCCCUACGGGGUGCAGCAGGCGCGAAAACUUUACAAUGCUGGCAACAGCGAUAAGGGAACCUCGAGUGCCAGGUUACAAAUCUGGCUGUCGAGAUGCCUAAAAAGCAUUUCAUAGCAAGGGCCGGGCAAGACCGGUGCCAGCCGCCGCGGUAACACCAGCGGCUCGAGUGGUAACCGUUAUUAUUGGGUCUAAAGGGUCUGUAGCCGGCCGGAUAAGUCUCUUGAGAAAUCUGGCAGCUUAACUGUCAGGCUUUCAGGAGAUACUGUCUGGCUCGAGGCCGGGAGAGGUGAGAGGUACUUCAGGGGUAGGGGUGAAAUCUUGUAAUCCUUGAAGGACCACCAGUGGCGAAGGCGUCUCACCAGAACGGACCUGACGGCAAGGGACGAAAGCUAGGGGCACGAACCGGAUUAGAUACCCGGGUAGUCCUAGCCGUAAACGAUACUCGCUAGGUGUCGGCCACGGUGCGACCGUUGUCGGUGCCGUAGGGAAGCCGUGAAGCGAGUCACCUGGGAAGUACGGCCGCAAGGCUGAAACUUAAAGGAAUUGGCGGGGGAGCAC